UGGAUGAGCUGCUCAUGCUGUUAAGGAGCUCCCAGUCCCCUCCCUCUACUCCAGGCGAGGACAUGUUGGUGUCGCCCUGCUCAACAGUCACCGAGCUGGAGGAGUUUGACCGGAGUCUUGGUCAACCGGAGAGGAGGAUAAAAAUGCGGCCUCCCAGAAGAACUUCCCCGCGCUGACUGCAGCAGACGUGGAGGACUUGAUUGGGCAAGCGCUGAAGUUUGCCCCACACAGACGGCCAGCUGAGAAGGACUAUAAGCCAAACCAUGGAGCUCUAUUUUUUAUUUAUUUUUUUUGUAUUUUUUUCCAUCCAUCUUGCAGCUU